rnacentral:rRNA from 1 species
GACGAACGCUGGCGGCGUGCUUAACACAUGCGAGUCGAACGGAAAGGCCCUGCUUGCAGGGUACUCGAGUGGCGAACGGGUGAGUAACACGUGGGUGAUCUGCCCUGCACUUCGGGAUAAGCCUGGGAAACUGGGUCUAAUACCGGAUAGGAGCCAUUUUUAGUGUGAUGGUUGGAAAGUUUUUUCGGUGUAGGAUGAGCUCGCGGCCUAUCAGCUUGUUGGUGGGGUAAUGGCCUACCAAGGCGGCGACGGGUAGCCGGCCUGAGAGGGUGGACGGCCACAUUGGGACUGAGAUACGGCCCAGACUCCUACGGGAGGCAGCAGUGGGGAAUAUUGCACAAUGGGCGCAAGCCUGAUGUAGCGACGCCGCGUGGGGGAUGACGGCCUUCGGGUUGUAAACUCCUUUCGCUAGGGACGAAGCUUUUUGUGACGGUACCUAGAUAAGAAGCACCGGCUAACUACGUG